AGCGAACGCUGGCGGUAGGCCUAACACAUGCAAGUCGAACGGCAGCACAGUAAGAGCUUGCUCUUACGGGUGGCGAGUGGCGGACGGGUGAGGAAUACAUCGGAAUCUACUUUUUCGUGGGGGAUAACGUAGGGAAACUUACGCUAAUACCGCGUACGACCUACGGGUGAAAGCAGGGGAUCUUCGGACCUUGCGCGAUUGAAUGAGCCGAUGUCGGAUUAGCUAGUUGGCGGGGUAAAGGCCCACCAAGGCGACGAUCCGUAGCUGGUCUGAGAGGAUGAUCAGCCACACUGGAACUGAGACACGGUCCAGACUCCUACGGGAGGCAGCAGUGGGGAAUAUUGGACAAUGGGCGCAAGCCUGAUCCAGCCAUACCGCGUGGGUGAAGAAGGCCUUCGGGUUGUAAAGCCCUUUUGUUGGGAAAGAAAAGCAGCAGGUUAAUACCCCGCUGUUCUGACGGUACCCAAAGAAUAAGCACCGGCUAACUUCGUG
rnacentral:rRNA from 1 species